rnacentral:tRNA from 1 species
GCCGAAGUGGCGGAACUGGUAGACGCGCCAGACUCAAAAUCUGGUAGUGGCAACACUGUGUGGGUUCGAGUCCCACCUUCGGCACCA